UACAGAGGGUGCGAGCGUUUGUCCGGAAUCACUGGGCGUAAAGGGCGCGUAGGUGGCGACCCAAGUCAGUGGUGAAAGCUCGACGCUCAACGUCGAGUCGGCCACUGAGACUGGGUUGCUCGAGCACUGUAGAGGCAGAUGGAAUUCCGGGUGUAGCGGUGGAAUGCGUAGAGAUCCGGAAGAACACCGGUGGCGAAGGCGGUUAGCUGGGCAGUUGCUGACACUGAGGCGCGACAGCGUGGGGGAGCAAACAGG
rnacentral:rRNA from 1 species